GCAGAGGUUGCAGGGAGCCGAGAUUGUACCACUGCACUCCAGCCUGGGUGAGAGACUCCAUCUCCAAAAAGUAUAUAUGUGUGUGUGUGUGUGUGUGUGUGUGUGUGUGUGUGUGUGUGUGUGUGUAUGGUGGAACUUACAAAUGAGAGCAAUAUAAUGAUGAAAUUUUGAACUGUUAUUUAUAAACAUGUAAGGUAGAAUGGUUAGUCAUGGCCAGAGUAUGUUUCAUCCCUUAAUUUUUGUCCAUUUGAAAAUAAGGAUUUUUGAAAGAAUUAUACCAAUUAAAAUUAUUAAAGGCAAACAUAGAGUUCAUAGAAAAUUGUCCAAAGUAUAAAUGUUGACCUAUAAUUUGGAGCAUUUCCAAUUCAGUAAUUUCAAUUUUGCUCUUGAAAAUAUUUAAUAUAUAUCGAAGACUGACAUUUCUUUAGCCGAACCUAAUGUUUGGGUCUCUAAGUGAAUUUAUAAUAACUCCUUCCUUCCUUAGCAUAGGGUUUUCAAAAUUUGAUCUAUAAUUCCUAUUUCUGGUAAAUAUUGUUCAUUUGUCCACAUCUCUCCCUAUCAUGUGUUGCCGGAGGUAAGAAUUUCUUUUAUAUUCCUAUUUUUUUUCCCCAUAGACUAGGCUCAUAGUAUUUAAACAAGCAAACUUUUCCUGAGCUUUUUCUUGCCAAAUGAAAGAAGACUGGUAAAUUCUCAUAGAGAGGUUUGUGCAGUUCUUGGCUAUUCCUGGGGUUAAUGUGCUUAUAUUCACAGCGGCAAAUUGGUCUCAGAAUUUAAUUUAUUUAUUUUUGAUUUGAAUUUCUCUUUAAAAGUAUUGAUUUAAAAGUUAACUAGAAUUAUUCUUUCUCAUUUUCAAAAGUGAUUUUUACAUUAUGAAAUUUCCCUGCCAUUGUAAUGCCAUUUCAAGCAGAAAAAAAGUCAGCCAGUAAUUAAGAAAAAAAGUGAUGGAAAUUAAGUAGUAUUUUGGCUUAUUUUUAGGACUCAUCAUGAGAAGACACAGAGUUCCUUUAAUCAGGAAAUUAAUAUUCAUAAUUUUCAUUCAAAAUGGUAGUAUGUAAAGCAGAUUCUCAUUCAAAAACCCUCUUGCACACUUAUUUAUAUAUAUGUAUGUUUUUAUAUAAGUAAAUUUUUUCUCAUAUUUUUACGCAAUAUGCACACACACACGCACAUACUACUACAUGCGCUGUACUUGUACUUUGUGCCAUGCAUAUUCAAAUGUUUAUAUACAUAAGUUUAUUAUAACAUAAAAAGUAAAAGUAAUGAAUACUGUUUAAAAUAACUAAUAUAGUAUUUUUUAAUUUUUGUGGGGAUGGAUUCUCAAAUACUUAAUUGUGAUUUUAAGAGAUCCAGUAAAGACUUCUAAAGCUAAAACACAAUUUGAUUUUAAAAAGAAUGAUUCUCCUUACACAAUUAUAAAUAUUUGCAGUAAAUAUUUUCCUCAUAGUACUAUUUUGACCCCAUUUAAAAAGUAUUAGAUUAUAUUACUUUGAUCAAAUGAAAACUGAACCAUUAUAGAUGGUUAGCUGAAAGUAGACCCUAUUCUUGUCCUUCUUUAGAAGAGUAAAGAUUUGUCCUAGGGAAGAUGGCUGACUUCAGUUCAAAAUAUGCAUAUGCAUUUAGACUGUAGCUCCUCAGCCCUGUGGACACAAAAUUUGGGCAGUUUAAUAGGUCACAUUAUCAAUGCAUGGUGGUUUCUCCAACACUAAGAUAUUCACGUUGAAGCAGAUUUCCUGUUCAUCUUAUGUGUCUGGUAAAAUUGUUUCCCCAGUUACAAUCUGACUUAUCGAUAGAGGGUUAACAAGAGUAUAAUUACAUAACAGAAUUCCUCAUCAACUGUGAUCAGUCUACAGGAAAAUCAUUACUUUAUCUCGAUCUGCAGCUGAAUAUACUGCUAAGAAAGGGAGCAACUCUGACCUUUGUUAAAGUUGACCUUUUGUAAUUGAGGUAUAAGUUAUGAAAAGAUAAAAAACUGAAGGCCAGAGAAUCAGGAAAUGAAAGAUAGUAUGUGACUGAAGGUAACAAUAUUUUAAUGUUAUGCAAUAUAGUCAGAGAAAUAUUAAAAAUUAGUUGUUUGCUGUGCAUAGGUGGAUCUCCCAAGAAGUUAAUGAAACCUAAGCUUCAGUGCCUCUCACUUAGACAUGUUCCGUUUGAGGUCCUGAACCUAACUUUGCAUUAGGAAUUCUGUAUUAAUUUUGUUGAAGAAGACCAGCAAAGUUGUGUAUACUUCUACCCCCACAAAAUCUGCAUUGUCUGUGUGAGUAAAGUAAAAUAAUUCCUAUUUUUUUUUCUAUUAGAAAUAAGUAUGGAGAAUAUAUUUUUUAAAAUGUAAGUUAUGAGUUAAUUGAAUGUCCAUAUAUAACAAGUGACUUUCUCAUAAUAUAUAUGAUGUGAUAUAUAGGGAGAUAGUCUCAGUUUCAUCAUAUUUUAUAUGUUGAUUCUGAACUAUAGAAAAAUAAUAAAUGGGAUUUCAAUUAUAGCUCUUUUCCUUAGUUUGGAAAGAAAUACAGAGAGAUGUGGGAUUUGAAUGCCCAUGAAAGACAUUUAAUUUUACUUGAAUAUAUUCUUGCUUCACUUUACCCUCCAUAACAUGUUGUACAUUAGUGCUGAUCAAGUUUACAGAGUUAUAUUUUGCUUUCCUAACCAUUCAAAGUCAGGAAUUAAAAUAUGGCAUUGUAUAACUGGGAAGAAGUUCAUAGUGUAUAUACAUUAGAGUAGAUAAUGGGUCACCUUGAUAGUUUCUGUUUACAUUACUUGUAUAUAGGCAAAAUAAUGAUUACCUAUACAUGUAUUUAAGCUUAAUUUUCCCAUAAACAGUAUUUUUAAUCUAUGUUAAAAUAGAUAAUACCUAAAAGUGUGAUCUUUAGGUAGUCCUUAGUUUAUUAGUACUGUACUUUAAAAACAUUUUUAAAUAAGCCCGGCACAGUGUCUCAUGCCUGUAAUCCCAGCACUUUGGGAGGCCAAGGUGGGUUAAUCACCUGAGGUCAGGAGUUCGAGAUCAGCCUGGCCAACAUGGUGAAACCCUAUCUCUACUAAAAAUAAUACAAAAAUUAGCCAGGCAUGGUGGCAGGCGCCUGUAAUCCCAGCUACUCGGGAGGCUAAGGUAGGAGAAUCACUUGAGCCCAGGGGGCGGAGGUUGCAGUGAGUUGAGAUUGCAUCAUUGCACUCCUGCCUGGGGGACAAGAGUGAGACUUCAUCUCAAAAAAAAAAAAAAAAAAA
rnacentral:lncRNA from 1 species